ACCGAGCCUGGUAACGCAAGCUUGUGACCCAAGUGGGGGCUGAAAGGUGAUGGAACACGGGUUCGACUUAUUGAGUCGGUUCUUCAAUGGUUUGACUUAGGCUUGCCCGUUCCAAGCCAAGAGUUGGACCAAGGGGCACGAGCGUAGGCUUGUGUUUCGUGGUUCUUAGAGAGGGGGAAAAAGCGUGAGGCUGGUUUCACAGAGCAGCGAACACCUCCCGCUCCUGGCAGUGGAAGGAUAACAGGCUUGACCCUUUAGGAACCACCAUGGCUCAAUGAGCUGACCCCAACUGGACCAUCAUUUUU
rfam:Gossypium hirsutum cultivar TM-1 chromosome 10, whole genome shotgun sequence